ensembl:lncRNA
AGCCUAAUUCAUAGCUCACACUUCAGACAAUUAUGUCAGUGAAAGUACUAAGAUUUGAAUAUGACCUCCCUUUCCAUUGUGUAUUGUGGCAGUUUUAAAAACCAAAUUCACAAUGUUGUCUUUCCUCUCUUCAAAACAGGGAGCUUAAUUUCCCUCCUUUUGAGGGUGGGCUCACUUACUAACAGUUGUAAAUUUUAGAAAUCUUUGCAUGUCACUUCUGAAUUUAGUUUGUUGUUAAAAAAACACAGCUUGCAUCUUAGGUUCAUUCUCUCUCUCUCUCUCUCUCUCUCUCUCUCUCUCUCUCUCUCUCUCUCUCUCGUAGUAUCUUUCCCCUUCUCUCUCUGUCUCUCUCUUAGUAUCUCUCUCCUUCUCUCUGUCUCUCAUCAUGUUCCCCAGGGAGCAAUCUGCAAUUUAUAAUGAGCCCUAUGGAGAGGUCAUGUGGCAAGAAGCUAAGGCUGCCUGAGAGAACCUGAGGCCUGCCAGCAACCACAUAUUAUACCUCCCUCAUGCCUUGAGACCUCUGAAGCAAUAUGUCAGAAUUUCAGCUAUUCUAAAACCACUAUGUUGCUCAGAUGCCCAGGAGAAAUCAUAUAGAAAUUGAGACAUCUGAGAAGCCCAAAGUGUUUCACAGUCCAGCUGUUCCGGUCAUGUCAACCCAGUCAUACUCUCUUCGGCCUCCUUGUGAAGCGAUGCCUUCCAUCAUCAUUGUAAGUUUCCUGAGGCCUGCCCAGCCAUGCACAACUGUGAGUCAAUUAAACCUUUUUCUUUAUAAGUUAUCCAGUCUUGGGCAGUUAUUUAUAGCUGCAUGAAAAUGGACUAAUAUAAAUGGUUAUAGGUGCAUGAUUUUAUCUCUGGGCUCUCCAUUUGAUUGCUUUGGUCUAUGUGUCUAUUUUUGUACUGACACUAUGCCAUUUUGUUUACUGUAGCCCUUUGGUAUAGUUUGAAGUCAGGUAAUGUGGUGCUUCCAGCUUUGUUCUUUUUGCUGAGGAUUGCUUUGGCUAUCCAGGCUCUUUUAUGGUUGUAUAUAAAUUUUAGAAUAGUUUUUCUAAUUCUGUGAAAAAUGUCAUUAAUAGUUCAACAAGAAUAGCAUUGAAUCUGUAAAUUUCUUUGGACAUUAUGGUCGUUUUAACAAUAUUGAUUCUUCCUAUUUGAUCAGUUGUUUUAAUUGCUUUUUUUCAGCUUUCACAUAUACUUCCAUGUCAGUUCGAACUUUCCUGUUAAACUUCUUUUCACUCUUAUUCUUUCUGGUCUAUUGAAUCUGGUAUUUCCAUUUGUUUGUUGUCUUUCUUUCAUGAUUUUUGGGCUCCUUAGAUGUACUUGCAGUCGUUUCUUUUUUUCCUCUGUGGUUGUAUAUAUUCUGGGGUAUUGCUAUUUAGUUUGGUAAUAAGUAGUUGCAGAAAUGUUAGAUAGCACAGGAUCUAACUUGAGGUCCUCUUGGUGAAUUUAGAAAUAAAAAUACAUUCUCUUCUGGACUAUUUUUUAUACUUUAGGUGGCAUAAUCACAAAAAAAAAUCUGGAAAAAUGGAACAAAUUAUGAAUGCUAAUUUAUCUUGUUUCCUGCUAAUUAUUCCUGUGACAACAGAUACUCUGGAUAGGUCGAGUUCUUUGGAAAGGGGAUUAUUACAUGAAGGAGUCUUGGGAUAGUAUGCCUUUGAACAUAACAAUAUUUGUGAGAGUAUCUCUUUUAUUUCCAUUGCUGACUC